AGAGUUUGAUCCUGGCUCAGGAACAACGCUGGCGGCGUGCCUAACGCAUGCAAGUCGGGCGGGGCGCGCUUUCGGGCGCGUUCAGCGGCGGACGGGUGAGUAGCGCGUGACCGACCUGCCCGCGAGUGGGGGCCAACCCCGGGAAACCGGGGCUGUUACCGCAUGCGUCCGGCGUCCGGUGGGGAUGUCGGGGAAAGCCCUUCGGGGCGCUCGCGGAGGGGGUUGCGUCCGAUUAGCUAGUCGGCGGGGUGACGGCCCACCGAGGCGACGAUCGGUCGCUGGUCUGAGAGGACGGCCAGCCACAGGGGGACUGAGACACGGCCCCCACACCUACGGGUGGCAGCAGCGAGGGAUUUUCGGCAAUGGGCGCAAGCCUGACCGAGCAACGCCGCGUGCGGGACGACGCCCCUCGGGGUGUAAACCGCUUUUGGUCGGGGCGAAGCUGACGGUACCGAUCGAAUCAGUCUCGGCUAACUACGUGCCAGCAGCCGCGGUAAGACGUAGGAGACGAGCGUUGUCCGGAUUUACUGGGCGUAAAGCGCGCGCAGGCGGCCCCGCAGGUCGGUUGUGAAAGCCCCCGGCUCAACCGGGCGGAGGCGAGCGAAACCGCGGGGCUGGAGGCUGGCAGAGGGUGGUGGAAUUCCCGGUGUAGUGGUGAAAUGCGUAGAGAUCGGGAGGAACACCCGCGGCGAAGGCGGCCACCUGGACCAGGCCUGACGCUGAGGCGCGAAGGCCGGGGGAGCGAACGGGAUUAGAUACCCCUGUAGUCC
rnacentral:rRNA from 1 species